GCUUGUCUCAAAGAUUAAGCCAUGCAUGUCUAAGUAUAAACGAAUCUAUACUGUGAAACUGCGUACGGCUCAUUAAACCAGUUAUAGUUUAUUUGAUAUUCCCCUACUACUCGGAUAACCGUAGUAAUUCUAGAGCUAAUACAUGCGUAAAGGGUGCUGAAAGGCAUCUGUGUUUAUUAGAUACAACCAACCCCUCGCGGGUUUAGGUGAUUCAUAAUAACCGAACGAACCGCGUUCAGCGGUGAUUCUUUCUACAUUAUUCCCUAUCAGCUUUCGUUUUUUGUGUAGUGGACAAAAAAGGCUUUGACGGGUAACGGAGAAUUAGGGUUCGAUUCCGGAGAGGGAGCCUGAGAGAUGGCUACCACAUCCAAGGAAGGCAGCAGG
rnacentral:rRNA from 1 species